rnacentral:rRNA from 1 species
UGGGGAAUAUUGCACAAUGGGCGCAAGCCUGAUGCAGCCAUGCCGCGUGUGUGAAGAAGGCCUUCGGGUUGUAAAGCACUUUCAGCGGGGAGGAAGGCGUUAAGGUUAAUAACCUUGGCGAUUGACGUUACCCGCAGAAGAAGCACCGGCUAACUCCGUGCUAGCAGCCGCGGUAAUACGGAGGGUGCAAGCGUUAAUCGGAAUUACUGGGCGUAAAGCGCACGCAGGCGGUCUGUCAAGUCGGAUGUGAAAUCCCCGGGCUCAACCUGGGAGCUGCAUUCGAAACUGGCAGGCUCGAGUCUUGUAGAGGAGGGUAGAAUUCCAGGUGUAGCGGUGAAAUGCGUAGAGAUCUGGAGGAAUACCGGUGGCGAAGGCGGCCCCCUGAACAAAGACUGACGCUCAGGUGCGAAAGCGUGGGGAGCAAACAGG